rnacentral:rRNA from 1 species
GAUGAACGCUGGCGGCGUGCCUAAUACAUGCAAGUCGAACGGAGGAUGCUUUGCUUGCAUCGCAUCCUUAGUGGCGAACGGGUGAGUAACGCGUUGGUGACCUGCCCCAAAGCGAGGGAUAGCAACUGGAAACGGUUGAUAAUACCUCAUAUGAUCUGGCGGAUUAGAAUCGCUUGAUUAAAGGAGUAAUCCACUUUGGGAGGGGCCUGCGUCCCAUCAGCUAGUUGGUAGGGUAAUGGCCUACCAAGGCGAUGACGGGUAGGGGACCUGAGAGGGUGACCCCCCACACUGGAACGUAGAACAACGGUCCGA